rnacentral:rRNA from 1 species
AGCGAACGCUGGCGGCAGGCCUAACACAUGCAAGUCGAACGAACUCUUCGGAGUUAGUGGCGGACGGGUGAGUAACACGUGGGAACGUACCUUUUGGUUCGGAAUAACUCAGGGAAACUUGUGCUAAUACCGAAUGUGCCCUUCGGGGGAAAGAUUUAUCGCCAUUAGAGCGGCCCGCGUCUGAUUAGCUAGUUGGUGAGGUAACGGCUCACCAAGGCGACGAUCAGUAGCUGGUCUGAGAGGAUGACCAGCCACACUGGGACUGGGACACGGCCCAGACUCCUACGGGAGGCAGCAGUGGGGAAUCUUGCGCAAUGGGCGAAAGCCUGACGCAGCCAUGCCGCGUGAAUGAUGAAGGUCUUAGGAUUGUAAAAUUCUUUCACCGGGGACGAUAAUGACGGUACCCGGAGAAGAAGCCCCGGCUAACUUCGUG